UCCCAAGUGGCUCUGCACCUUUGGUUUAUUGUUGUUGAAAUGCUUUAAUGAAAUUGAUCUCCUUUUGCUGGAACAAAAUUGAAGCCCCGCUAAUCUUUAAGCAUCCUUAAAUCUCAACAUGCAAUGGCUUUUAAAUGUCAAAAAAAAAAAAAUCUUAGCUUUUAAACAUUCUUAAGAUUGUACUAAUCUUCAGCACACACAUGAAAAAGAUAAGCUGCCACCAGAAUUUCACUUUUUACAUGUGAAAAAUAUAAGCAUUGUGCAUAUAUAGAGAUGGGGAUUUCCUAUAAAAACCAAAAAGAGACUAGGAAAGCUCCCACCAAAGCAAGACUGAUUGAACAGCCAUUUUUAGGCUGGCCAGUUUCAGGCUUUUACCAGUGUGCAUUUUUAACUUGAAAAUAUAUAAUACAACCAAAAGAAACAAAACUUAAACAUAAAGCUGUAACCUAUUUUUGGUUCAUGGUUCAGCAAAAAGCUGUUCCAAGAUGAUAUUCCAACAGCAGCUCAUGGCUCCCAAGCUCAAUGCCCUGGUUAUGCCAUCAUGCAAAGCCGGUAACGGUAAAAGCUCUACAAAAACAGAUACACAAUAAGGCUUCAAAACCAACCUUACCUUGUCAUGCUUCAAACACCUUUAUAUGACCUC
rnacentral:lncRNA from 1 species